GACGAACGCUGGCGGCGUGCUUAACACAUGCAAGUCGAACGGAAAGGCCCUGCUUUUGUGGGGUGCUCAAGUGGCGAACGGGUGAGUAACACGUGAGUAACCUGCCCUUGACUUUGGGAUAACUUCAGGAAACUGGGGCUAAUACCGGAUAGGAGCUCCUGCUGCAUGGUGGGGGUUGGAAAGUUUCGGCGGUUGGGGAUGGACUCGCGGCUUAUCAGCUUGUUGGUGGGGUAGUGGCUUACCAAGGCUUUGACGGGUAGCCGGCCUGAGAGGGUGACCGGCCACAUUGGGACUGAGAUACGGCCCAGACUCCUACGGGAGGCAGCAGUGGGGAAUAUCGCACAAUGGGCGGAAGCCUGAUGCAGCAACGCCGCGUGCGGGAUGACGGCCUUCGGGUUGUAAACCGCUUUCGCCUGUGACGAAGCGUGAGUGACGGUAAUGGGUAAAGAAGCACCGGCUAACUACGUG
rnacentral:rRNA from 1 species